rnacentral:rRNA from 1 species
UACAGAGGGGGCAAGCGUUGUUCGGAAUUACUGGGCGUAAAGGGCGCGUAGGCGGCCUGCUAAGUCGAACGUGAAAUCCCCGAGCUCAACUCGGGAACUGCGUCCGAUACUGGCAGGCUUGAAUCCGGGAGAGGGAUGCGGAAUUCCAGGUGUAGCGGUGAAAUGCGUAGAUAUCUGGAGGAACACCGGUGGCGAAGGCGGCAUCCUGGACCGGCAUUGACGCUGAGAGACGAAAGCUAGGGGAGCGAACAGG